rnacentral:lncRNA from 1 species
AUUCUUGAAGACAGCUUGACCGUGAUGGAGGAGACAGACAUUUAGAAUGAGCACGAAAUAAAGAUGGCUGUUAAGGGGUCAGCUCCCCUCACCAAAGUCACUUUUGAUUUACUUACAAAAGUUUUCUUAAGAUUUCUUCAGAACCCAGGUCAGAAGGCUGGGGCAGGAGGCCAGGCAGAUCACAGCGUCCAUGCCUAGAUGCUCCCUGACCCCCAGGAGCCAGAAGUGCUGUCUCCUGAAGGCUCUGGAAACCCGGAAUCAGCCUACAAGGCACCAGGGCCACAUUGGAGGGUGGAAAUGAGGACCUCAGGCCCCAGAGGGCAUGCAGGCGAGGUGAAGUUCAGGAGAGCCAGGAAGUGUCCCCCUCUUCCCGGCCUGCUGUAUCCCAGGACACAGGGCGUAAGUGUGGAGGAGGAAGGGCUGCAGGGUGAGGCAGCCCACACUUUGGCUCAGGACAGGGAUGGGACUGGGACAUAUGGGAAAAUAGUCUGGGGGUCCUGGGUAAUGGCAGGAGCAUGAGCUCAGGGUCGGGUGGCUGUCCUGGAUGACCUGUGGGACUCUCUUCCUCUCCGAGCCACGCUUUGCUCAACUGUCCCUUCCUUGUGGGAUGCCAGAGGCCACGGCGAGCGAAGGCAUAUGCCAAGAGCUGCCACUCAAUGUGAGUCAGCGUGCUGGCCCUCCCUCCUUUUCUCCAGGGGGCCUAGGACUUUUGGGGGGAGCCUGAGGACAUGCUUCGCUGAUGUCACUGUGGGGAGUGUACAAAUGGCCACCCUGCUGCUCGUUGGUUCUAUAUGGGCAUCCAGGCUGGAGAGCAGGGGGUGGGGAGAUGGAGAUGCCACCGGCAGGGGACUGGUUCCUAGAAGAGAGGGCGAGUUUGGGUGGUCCCAGAGGUGUUCUUCCCAGAAAAGAGAGCAGGAGGCAGGAGAUGGGCAUGGAGAAUGUGGAGGGGGGCAUUGACAGUUUCUAGAGUGUUCUCCACCGCCCAUCUGAUAAGACCUGGAGCCUCAUUACCAAAGACUUAAUGAGAUUCGCUUUGUUUUCUUAUGAGCCAGGCAAGGUGCCAGGGGAAGCGGCUUCCAGCCCCAGGCUCUGCAGCUGGCUGCUGUGUGACCCAGAGCCAGGCACCACACCUCUCUGGGCCUUAGACUCCUUAUCCAUGAGCUUCCUGCCUGCACCCUAACAUUCAGUGUCAUUGGCUGAGUUACCCAAUGGCUCCCAGCCUCAGUUUCUUCAUCUGCACAUUAGGGAUAAGUACAGCCAUCCACCUGGGAGGUGUCAAGGGGGUGUGGCCGCAGCACCCAGCCCAUGCACAAGUUCAGUGAUCAUUACCUGUCUCCCCCAGCCCUGCCUGAGUGCCGGGAUCAGCAGGCUUGGGAAGGGGGAGCCCCCAGGGAUGUGGAAAGUGGAGAGGGAGCACAUGGGCUCUGGGGCCUCGGGGCUCCUGGGCUCUGUUCUGCCUGUCUGGGAGCUGUCUCCUGCUCUCCCUUGCAGUGUCUCUGUCUCUCUUCGUUCUGUUCCUCCCUCUGUCCUUCAGUUUGUCCCUCUCCAUCUCAGUCUCUGGUUGUCUCAGUCUCUGUUUGCACCUCACUGUCUCUGCCUUUCUCUGCAUCUCUCUUCCUUUCCUGGGCUCUCUCUCUCUCUUUCAUCCCUGUUUUGGGCUUUCUCUGUCUCUGUCUCUCUGUUUUUCAGUCUGCUUCUUUCUGUCUCCGUUCAUUUCUCUGUAUGUCUUUGUCCCCUGCACUCCCAUUCUCCUCCCAUGCUGUCCUCUCUGGGGGCUCCUCUGGCUUCACUGAGCCACAGGCCCAGGCUGGGGUGUGAAGAAGCAGGAGCUCCCCUGUCAGAUGACGCUAGGUGCCCCAGUCAGGGCAAUGGGGGCCAGACAAAGAGCUCUGCGAGGGGUGGCAAAAUCCUCUUCCCAGGGAAGGGAAUGUGGGGGCUACUGGCCAGCUGUGGGAUGGGUGGCUGAGAACUCUCAUACCACUGUAAAUUCUAGAUGUUUUUCACUUAUAUCAGCUUCCUGAUCCCCCUGAGCCAAAGGCCUAGAAGGUCCCUGUCCCUGUCCUUUUGGAAUGUGCAGUCUUACUUACCAGAGUGACAAGGGGAACGGAGUUGAAACAGGUGGUUUCCCAGCACAGGAGCCUGUGGGGGCUGCUUAGAGAACAGCACAUUCCCUGGGAGCCAGAGCCAUCUGGGAGGGCUUUCUGGAGGAGGCAGAUCAUGAGGGAUCAGGAUGGGGACUAAUAUGUGCUGAGUGCCUGGUGGUGCUUUAUAAAUAUCAGCAGAUUGGGAGAUAAGCAUAGCCACCCUGUAGAGACACCUGGGAGGUGUCAAGGGGCAUGCAUUGUAAAGGCCCAGAGUGGUGAAGCAUCCACCAGCUGGUAAGUGGUAGCCUCGGGUGGGGCCUGUCGCUGUCCCCAUGCUCUGUCCACUACUGGUGUGGCUUGCCCCACUUGUGACCAUCGUUUCUUCCCCUCCACCCCCAGUGCCACUUCCUCUCUCCCUCGUUGUAGGGGAAAGAACAUGGGCUGUAUGGCCUUGGGCCAAUUGCUUGCCCUCUCUGGGCCUUCUUAUUGGUGACAGACAGACUGGUGACUUUCUGAGAGGAUCUAUGCAACCUCAGGCUCCUGCACCUGGGUUACAGGGUCUUCUGGAGGGGAAGAGAUGAGCAGGUAGGCUUUGACACCUGCCUGCUUUGUCCUGACUGUCUACUAUGUCAUCUGCUUUAAAUGCGAAGCCCCUGGGACUUGCGAGUUAUCUCUAAGCCUUCUCUUUUCCUGACUUUCUGGGAGUGUGUGUACCCCCAUUCCCUCACCCCAGCCAUCAGGGCCCUUUCUGAGUUGGGCAUCCUUCCUAGCUCUGGGCUAGGCCCCAACCCUGGCCCUUUCCAAGGCCAGCAGGAACUGGAAGGUCCGUACUCAUGCCCUGGGAGGCUCCAGGCUCUAAGGGGUGCUGGAGUGAUGGAGUUGGGCGGCUGGUGCUCAGAGGACCUUAAUGGUGUGGGGACAGCUGGAAACUGGUUGUCUCUUGAACCCUCUUGCCACCAGACCUCUGUCCAGGAGGGCUGCUGGGGGCCAAUGGGCCAGACACCAGACAGUCACACCUUUGGCAGGGCUGAAGUCGGGGGUGUGUGACACAAUGGGAGGGGCUGGGCCUGGCAGUCCCUGCAGCCUAUAAGCACCAGCAACCCAUGAGGGGACACAGGCACCCUCUGGCCUCAUCCUUCUUGGAGCCAGUGGGAUGUAGCAACUAAAAUACAAGCUCUGAAGUUUUAUGGACUGGAGUUGCAUCUCUGCUUCCAUCCUAAUUAGCAAGAGACCUUGGUCACGUUGCUUAAACUCUGACACUAGAUUCUCCCCCUCUGCAAAGCAAGGACAAUAGCAGUGCUCCCUUCCCGGGUCAGUUGCAAGGGUUAAGGAUGAUGUCUGCAAAGUGCUUAGCCAGAGCCGGCAUACCGUAAGUGCUCAAUAAAUGCUGGCUCCCAUUAUUAGUAUCCCUUCCCUCCACGCCCUCAGCACAUCCCUUUAUCAUGAUGGAAUAACCAACUGCCUGGUAACAACAUGUUCACACUUCCACGCUCCCCAUGAACCAUGCUCACCUAUAAGGCAGGCUGCGACCAGCUCCUCUCCAUCUAUUCAUUGCCUGGCCCAUGCUAGGGGCCCAAGAAAUGUCUGCUGCAUCAACGAGUGAUUUUGGGAAAGGUGCUGAGCCCUUCUGUCCCAUGAAGGUCUUGCGAGACAGUGUCUCACCAGCAACCUGGAUCGUGAGAACCACAGCGGGUGGGCCAGAUCUAGAUGGAGAGUGUCCAUUGGGCAGAGCUGCUUCUGUGAAAGGAAAAGAAGUUUUUCAAGAAACCAUGACGGGGGCCCAAGAAUCCAAGUUUCUAACUCUGGGAUCGGUUUUCUGUCUUUUACCUCGGUUUGCCUCUCCCUAGCUGUGUGGUUUAUGGCAAGUCACUCUGUGCCUCUGUCUCCACGUGUUCAAGGAGGCAGCCGGUCCAAGGGGCCUUCAUAGAAGGGGCUGCCGAGAUGUGAGCCCUGCAUUGGGGGAUGCCCCACAGAGGUGCUGUCCCCCACCCCCUUUCCAGGUAUGAGUGUCCCCCAGCUCUGAGUGAAUCAGUAGGAGGUGCUGGACCUGGGCUGAUUCUCACAGUGGGACCUCAACUCUAGCCCCGGCUUGGCUGACAUUAGAGGACUUUGGGUCGUUGUUCUGGCAGCUGCAAGGAAGAGCCAAUGUCAGGGAGGGAAACCCCACAUUCCCUGGCACUAUCCAAACAAAGGUUUGGUUAAAACAAAGAAUUCUCAUGGAGAAGAGUCUGAAGGACCCAAAACACAUAUUUCUGUAGACAUCCCAUCCCAAAAUAAACCCAUGGAUCAAGCCAGACCCAAAUACAAGGAUGCUGUGAACCACAUGGUUGAAUAUUCCACACUUUCCCCAUCCAUUAAACCCCACCCAGGGUGGGAAGGGGUGGAUUUCCCUCAGUUCUCAGGGCCUAGAAGAGCAGGGCUUUUUUCCCUCAACUGGUUGAGUUUUACUUUGUGAGCACCAUGAUUCCUAAAACCGGUUAUAUUUUCUUUUUCUCCUGGGCCGCCAGGGAACUCACAGUGAAAUCUACCAACCAAAGAGGAUGUCCAUACCUGUCUUUUUCUUUCUUCCUUCAUUUUUUGACUUAAUUUCCUCACUUG